rnacentral:rRNA from 1 species
UACAGGGGGUGCAAACGUUGCUCGGAAUUAUUGGGCGUAAAGCGCGCGUAGGCGGCCACUUAAGUCGGAUGUGAAAGCCCCUGGCUCAACUGGGGAAGUGCACCCGAAACUGAAUGGCUUGAAUGCAAAAGAGGGUCGCGGAAUUCCCGGUGUAGAGGUGAAAUUCGUAGAUAUCGGGAGGAAUACCGGUGGCGAAGGCGGCAUCCUGGACCGACAUUGACGCUGAUGAGCGAAAGCUAGGGGAGCAAACGGG